rnacentral:rRNA from 1 species
CCGCUCAGAGAUGUGUAUAAGAGACAGACUCUUGACCGGGUGCCGCGGGUCGGGCCGACGAGUUUACUUUGAAAAAAUUAGAGUGUUCAAAGCAGGCCGCCCGCCUGCAUAGUGUCGCAUGGAAUAACGGAAUAGGACCUCGGUCUCGUUUCGUUGGCGUUCGCGGGAGCGAGGUAAUGAUUAAGAGGGACGGCCGGGGGCGUCCGUACUCUGCCGUCAGAGGUGAAAUUCUUGGACCGGCGGAAGACGAGCAGCUGCGAAAGCGUUCGCCAAGAACGUUUUCUUUAAUCAAGAGCGAAAGUCAGAGGUUCGAAGACGAUCAGAUACCGUCCUAGUUCUGACUAUAAACGAUGCCAACUGGCGAUCGGCGGGCGUUACCAUGACGACCUCGCCGGCAGCCUCCGGGAAACCAAAGUCUUUGGGUUCCGGGGGAAGUAUGGUUGCAAAGCUGAAACUUAAAGGAAUUGACGGAAGGGCACCACCAGGAGUGGAGCCUGCGGCUUAAUUUGACUCAACACGGGGAAACUCACCCGGCCCGGACACGGGAAGGAUUGACAGAUUGACAGCUCUUUCUUGAUUCUGUGGGUGGUGGUGCAUGGCCGUUCUUAGUUGGUGGAGCGAUUUGUCUGGUUAAUUCCGAUAACGAACGAGACUCUGGCAUGCUAAAUAGUUACGCGANCCUCGGCGGUCGGCGUCCAACUUCUUAGAGGGACUAGUGGCGUUUAGCCACACGAGAUCGAGCAAUAACAGGUCUGUGAUGCCCUUAGAUGUUCGGGGCCGCACGCGCGCUACACUGGACGGAUCAGCGAGUGCGCCCGGGCCGAGAGGUCCGGGUAACCCGUUGAACCCCGUCCGUGAUUGGGAUAGGGCCUUGCAAUUGUUGCCCUCGAACGAGGAAUUCCCAGUAAGCGCGAGUCAUCAGCUCGCGUUGAUUACGUCCCUGCCCUUUGUACACANCGCCCGUCGCUACUACCGAUUGAACGGUUUAGUGAGNUCNUCGGACUCGNCCNCGUCGCGUGCCNGGCNACGGGCGCGGCGGUGCGCCGGGAAGACGACCGAACUUGAUCGUUUAGAGGAAGUAAAAGUCGUAACAAGGUUUCCGUAGGUGAACNUGCGGAAG